rnacentral:rRNA from 1 species
GUCUACGGCCAUGCCACCCUGAACACGCCCGAUCUCGUCUGAUCUUGGAAGCUAAGCAGGAUUGGGCCUGGUUAGUACUUGGAUGGGAGACCACCCAGGAAUACUGGGUGCUGUAGGUG